CGGUUUGCAAGGAGCUUCAGCUGCCACUUAGUGAUCUCCACUUGAGCACUGACCUGGUGGCCCUGUCUUACUCUGCAGCCUCAGGUGAAACACAUUCGGUUCAGGCUGUGGCUGUUAUGGUUGCCACCAGAGAGGGAUCCAUCCGCUAUUGGCCAAGCCUUGCUGGAGAGGACACCUACACGGAGACCUGUGUGGAUUUGGGAGGCGAUAAGACUUGCAUGUUUCUGACUGCAGUGCAGGGAGGAAGUUUCUCUUGUCCUCUGUGGGAUGCC